UGGUAAAGAGAGGACUUUAACCUCUGUCAUUGGAGCUACAAGCCACCGCCUAACCCUCGGCUAUUUW
rnacentral:tRNA from 1 species